rnacentral:rRNA from 1 species
UACCAGCACCCCGAGUGGUCGGGACGUUUAUUGGGCCUAAAGCAUCCGUAGCCGGUUCUACAAGUCUUCCGUUAAAUCCACCUGCUUAACAGAUGGGCUGCGGAAGAUACUAUGGAGCUAGGAGGCGGGAGAGGCAAGCGGUACUCGAUGGGUAGGGGUAAAAUCCGUUGAUCCAUUGAAGACCACCAGUGGCGAAGGCGGCUUGCCAGAACGCGCUCGACGGUGAGGGAUGAAGCCCUGGGGCGCAAACCGG